GAAUAAUAUCUUCUUGCCAUAUCU
rnacentral:siRNA from 1 species